UGGGGAAUAUUGCACAAUGGGGAAGACCCUGAUGCAGCAACGCCGCGUGAAGGAAGACGGUUUUCGGAUUGUAAACUUCUUUUCUUAGUGAAGAAACAAAUGACGGUAGCUAAGGAAUAAGCAUCGGCUAACUACGUGCCAGCAGCCGCGGUAAUACGUAGGAUGCGAGCGUUAUCCGGAAUUACUGGGUGUAAAGGGAGCGCAGGCGGGACUGCAAGUUGGAUGUGAAAUGCCGCAGCUUAACUGCGGAGCUGCAUCCAAAACUGUAGUUCUUGAGUGGAGUAGAGGCAAGCGGAAUUCCGAGUGUAGCGGUGAAAUGCGUAGAUAUUCGGAGGAACACCAGUGGCGAAGGCGGCUUGCUGGGCUCUAACUGACGCUGAGGCUCGAAAGUGUGGGGAGCAAACAGGAUUAGAUACC
rnacentral:rRNA from 1 species